rnacentral:lncRNA from 1 species
UUUUUCUGUGGCAUUAAAACCAAUUAAACCAGCCUGGCAUGUGGAAUUGCUAGGCAGAAGCAGCUUAAUGCAGCUGUCACUGUAUCAAAAGGUUACAUGAAAAUGGAAAGACUAUUUGUGGUUAUACAGCAGAGCCUCCAGACCUUGAGGCAGAUAUGUCAGGGCCUUUCAUAGAACUGGUAAAUUGUACUAACUGUUUGCAUUGCAAAUAUUGGCAUUCUGGGGAUAUCAGCAAUGAACCGCUGGCUCAUGCUCAUGGACAAUUGUUCAACAUUUUCUACCACUACAAAAAGAAAAAGAAAAAGAAAAAGAAAAAGAAAAAAAAAAGCCUACAGUGUAGGAUUUACAUACUUAAAAGAAAAAGGCACAUUUGUCUAAAACAUACUCUACAGUGAAAUUUGUAUCUAUAGAUCUCAUUUGGUAAAACCUUGCAUCAUCCCUUCUAGUUGGUUCAACACCACAAAAAAUUGGUUUAACCUAUGGUAGCUGACAGAUGCAGACAUGAGCCAUGGACCUGCAGUUCCCUGGUGCCCAGCUGCUCUUGUCCUGUUAGUGCAAGUCUGAAGUUUCAAGGCUGGUGUUGAGUCACACCCAAUCAAGCGGUGAAGGUCUAGACCACAUGUGAGCCCUCGGAGGGCUCUUGCUAAAAGUCUUAAAGUACUUCCAUGAGAAAGGGCUCUCCUAAGGGCUGAAGGAAUGAUACUGUGGAGUAACUUUACUAUGUGAUCUAAGGUUUCUGGAUAUCUGCCCAUCUACCUGACACACGAUAUUGUGAACCUGCAAAUUAUGACCCUGGGGUUUCCCAGAACACCUGUCAGCACUCAUCAGAGGACAGAAGAGGUGUUGACAGCCUGCUCCAUGACCAACAUCAGCAGUGUAGGAAGAAUGCUGCCCACCUUCCCUGUAAGGUACAAUUCUCUCAAAUCACACUACCAUCAGUGGAGACAAGGGGUGGCACAACUCUUGCCCACAUUCAAACGGUAUUUUAUGCACGAUUGGCUGCUGCUGCCAGAUGACCCAGACACCAAGUGUCCCUGGCCAUCUGCCUGAGUCAUGGCAUCACUUCAUGAUCCUGUGUUUGCUAUCAGUGAUUGUGUGAGUUGCCAUAUGGGCAUAUUGUUGUUCAUCUUUCCUUCUGCUUCAUUAAAGCUUUGUUUUAUA